rnacentral:rRNA from 1 species
CCUACGGGAGGCAGCAGUGAGGAAUAUUGGUCAAUGGACGGGAGUCUGAACCAGCCAAGUAGCGUGAAGGAUGACUGCCCUAUGGGUUGUAAACUUCUUUUAUAUGGGAAUAAAAUGUUCCACGUGUGGGAUUUUGUAUGUACCAUAUGAAUAAGGCUCGGCUAACUCCGUGCCAGCAGCCGCGGUAAUACGGAGGAUCCGAGCGUUAUCCGGAUUUAUUGGGUUUAAAGGGAGCGUAGGUGGAUUGUUAAGUCAGUUGUGAAAUUUUGCGGCUCAACCGUAAAAUUGCAGUUGAAACUGGCAGUCUUGAGUACAGUAGAGGUGGGCGGAAUUCGUGGUGUAGCGGUGAAAUGCUUAGAUAUCACGAAGAACUCCGAUUGCGAAGGCAGCUCACUGGACUGCAACUGACACUGAGGCUCGAAAGUGUGGGUAUCAAACAGGAUUAGAUACCCUAGUAGUC